UACGUAGGGGGCCAGCGUUGUCCGGAAUCAUUGGGCGUAAAGCGCGCGUAGGCGGCCAGAUAAGUCCGGUGUGAAAGUCAAAGGCUCAACCUUUGAAUGCCGCUGGAAACUGCCUGGCUUGAGUCCGGAAGGGGCGAGUGGAAUUCCUGGUGUAGCGGUGAAAUGCGUAGAUAUCGAGAGGAACACCUGCGGCGAAGGCGGGUUGCUGGGCUGACACUGACGCUGAUGCGCGAAAGCCAGGGGAGCGAACGGG
rnacentral:rRNA from 1 species